GGUGGCUCAGUGGUAGAGUGCUUGCCUUGCAAGCAUGAGGCCCUGGGUUCGAUUCCUCAGUACCA
rnacentral:tRNA from 1 species